rnacentral:rRNA from 1 species
UGGGGAAUUUUGGACAAUGGGCGCAAGCCUGAUCCAGCCAUGCCGCGUGUCUGAAGAAGGCCUUCGGGUUGUAAAGGACUUUUGUCAGGGAAGAAAAGGGCGGGGUUAAUACCCCUGUCUGAUGACGGUACCUGAAGAAUAAGCACCGGCUAACUACGUGCCAGCAGCCGCGGUAAUACGUAGGGUGCGAGCGUUAAUCGGAAUUACUGGGCGUAAAGCGGGCGCAGACGGUUACUUAAGCAGGAUGUGAAAUCCCCGGGCUCAACCUGGGAACUGCGUUCUGAACUGGGUGACUAGAGUGUGUCAGAGGGAGGUAGGAUUCCACGUGUAGCAGUGAAAUGCGUAGAGAUGUGGAGGAAUACCGAUGGCGAAGGCAGCCUCCUGGGAUAACACUGACGUUCAUGCCCGAAAGCGUGGGUAGCAAACA